rnacentral:rRNA from 1 species
ACGUAGGGUGCGAGCGUUAAUCGGAAUUACUGGGCGUAAAGCGUGCGCAGGCGGUUGUGCGAGACAGAUGUGAAAUCACCGGACUCAAACUGGGAACUGCAUUUGUGACUGCACGACAGGAGUACGGCAGUGGGGGGUAUAAUUCCACGUGUUGCAGUGAAAUGCGUAGAGAUGUGGAGGAAUUCCGAUGGCGAAGGCAGCCCCCUGGGCCGAUACUGACGUUCAUGCGCGAAAUCGUGGGGAGCAAACAG